AGAUUAAUAGCGGAAUUACACACGGGCAUUGGUUUGGCAGGAAUGCAAGGUGUGUGAUGAAACAGUUAUGUCGAUAGCUGAUGGACUUCCAAGGAGAGCUAAUAGUGGAGGUUGCACCAUAAUAAUCAGCAAGGUGUUUUUUCGACAUGAGCCGAAGUGGAAAUUCUUAGAAUGAUAUAUUCUAAGUGGCGAUACUCUUUAUGGUGGAGUAUCACAGGUGUUCAGCAAUGUGGAGUAUGGCGGAUAGUUGCUGCUAUGAUCAUUUUUAAUCAAGGUGGAGUUUGUUGGGAUUUUGCUUAAAAAUGAGAAUGGUCAUUGUCCC
rnacentral:lncRNA from 1 species